UUCAGAUGCCCAUUAAAGUGGAGCUGACAGACACUAGCCAGGGUCUCAGUGUGUGGUCCAGGCUGGCCUUAAAUGCACAGCCUUCCUGCUUCUGUCUCCUGAGUUCAGGGAUUACAGAUGUGCUCCACGAUGGUGUGUACUCUGUGCCUCUUGAAUUCCUGAGGCUACACAGCUGACUGGUAGUUAGGGAAUUCCAAGCCGGAAAGGGAAGAAGAGAAGCACACAGGAAGGAGAGGGUGGGGAAGGAGGGAGUGGAGAGAGCUAGAGACAGACAAGCAGAAGACUGAGAAAGUUAAGAGCUGAGUGCUUCUGCUGCGAGCUGUUGCUACGUGGGAGAUGCCCUUCAGACUGGCUGGUUGAAACGCCCAUCAGUUUUGCCUCUUGUUAGGUAGUGACCCUGGCAAGUCAUUUCGUCUUAUGAGUUUCCACUUACUCUCCUGUAAGACUGAGAAUGGUUUCCUGAAGAACUUUUUGUCAAGGAUUGAAUGAGAAGAUAUAGAAAAUGAUCUCCUUACUACAGCAGUUUCGACUCCGCUCCGGGGGCCCAGCCCUCCACGUCUCGCUGCUCAUUUUACCACCCGUGCCAAGGACCUCAAUAAAGGGAAUUCGGAGCGCUCCUGGACCACGGGCAAACCCGCCCUUAUUUUCUGUCUGCACAGGUUCAAACUUCCUUCCCUGGCUGAGGAAUAGAAAUGAAAGGCCUGUCCAGGGAGAGAAGACGUUCCGCCAGAUAAAAGGAGUCUUUUCCACCUGAGAUUUCUAACAUAAAACUCUGCGCUUUUGUGAAAUGGUCUUAGUUUGAAGCCAAUCUGCCCCGGGGGCAGCUGCAGAAGCCUGAAGCUCACCUUCAUGCUGUGCAUUGCUUGUGUGGCUCUGAGAAACACAAGGAUGACUUCUUCAAGAUGAUGGCAAACCGUGAAGCUAAACCCAAGGGAGGAAGCCAGCCUCCUCCUUCAAGCCGUGGCACACCACAAAGGGCUGCUGUCCAUCCAAACGUGACCCCACCAGGUUCAUGGCAGCUGCUCAGCCCCUCUGACACUCUAAGUCCUUCAGUGAGCAAGGAGCCGAACCCACUACAACAAUCUCCUAACUGGCUCACAGCGUGUUGUAUCGGGUGAGUCUGUAGCCUCUCGAUUCUGUUUAUUUUGUACUGUUUCGAGACAGGGUCUCAUGUAACCCAGGCUAGCCUCAGAGUCACUAUGUAGCUC